rnacentral:lncRNA from 1 species
AGGCUGUAGCGAGCCCUCUGACCUUGGAAAGGUGUCUGGGAAUAAAUUACUUCCCAGCUGUUUCAAGCGAUGUAUUUUGACUCUUGGAUUAUCAAAGUGUUUUGUCAUUUGUCAUAAAGUCAGGGAAGGGGCACACAUCCCCAGACAAAGGGCCAUGGAGGAUACGUUUGAGACAAACAUGUUCCAUAGCUUCUUAGCUUAACUAGCCCUUGACAUUUAUUGAUACAGUGUAUAUUACAACAUGAAUUUCAAAAAAUAAAAAAAUUACCACACAUAUAUCAAGUAAUAUCUCCCCCCCCCCCAUUUUCAAAUCUAAAAGUUAGCUUAAGAGCCAGCCUUUGUUCAGGCUUCAUGUCCACCCUGGAUUAAGCUCUCAGGGCUGCUGCGCCCGACUGUGAGCGGAAGCUGUCUUCCCAGUGCCCUGGGAGCCUGGAGUGUUGAGCAGGAAUAGUCAGUGCUCUGAGAUGCUGGCCCGGUGGCCAGGGUCCUUCUCUUACCAAAUUAUGUGUGCCUCCUCUGAGGAAGAGGAAGGCAUGGGUCUCCUAUGGCCCUUUAGUCCCUCGUGGGUCACUACACUGACAUAAGUCAUAUUCAGAGCUGAUGCUGGCUAGGCCAGACCCUAAACUAAACCCUUCUAAAGCUGUCCAGGCCCCCCCUUUCCUGGUCCUUCCUUGCAUCCUGUGGAUUAAAUCAUCUCUACAAACUAAGCCACUGCCACAAAUGGGCUGCUGCCGGCAAGUGGCCCUGGAAGGGUGUCCCUGUCAGAUUUCACCUGACAUUCUCACUACGAAAAAGCAUGUUGUGACUGAAAAGAGAGAUGAGCUAUUCUCCAAGAAGCAGGAAGUGACUGAGCAGACAGGUUAUUGAGGCUCCUGGAGAGCUCACCGCCAUUCUUGGCCUGCGAAUAAAUGGUUCUUUGACCUCCUGUCAUAUAGCAGUAGAGUGUUUCCUUUCUGAAUCACUAGGGUAGUGUGACCUGUGACAAGUCAGACUGUGCCGAUGUGAAUCCAUGAAAAGCGGCCCUUGACUGGACCUGGGGCUGUGGGGCACAGCUCUCCAGAGUCCUGGGUUAGAAGUAUCCUGGAUGCACCCAUGUCGAGAGUGGUAAUGUGCUGGUUUCAUAAGAUAGUUGGCGUUGUUACCCGGGCAGAGGCUACAUUUCUGGUUGAGCAUGGUCGUCUCGGGGCGUGCAUGUGUGCACCGUGCAGGGCCUGUCUGGUCAGGAGCAGACUUCAUGGCAGGUAUGUUACCUGGCUCUCGUCUGAGUUGCUGAAAGAUGAGCUGAGAGCCCAGUGCUAAAGAAGGAAGAAAAGAACAAGCAAACAAACAAACAAAAAACAGGAAACAAACUUGACUGGCAUAGUUUAGGACUGGUCAGAUUUGGUCACCAGUAUGAAGUCAACUCCUCUUGUCCGCGUGUCCUCCAUUAAAUUACCCUUCUAAAAUUACCCUUCCUAGUUAGACCCGCAUGCUUCAAGGAAAUGAUGCACCUGAGGCGUUGGGAAGGCGCUCACUCCCAUGCACUUUUCUGGGGAGAGUUCAUGGAAGGCUGCCUAGAGGGACACGUGCUGGCAGUACGGAGCACGACUUCUUAAGAGAGUUGUUGAGUCCGUGGCUUUAUGGGAUAUUGUAUGAUGAUCAGAGUCAAUCAAACGGCUCCUCACGUUCUUGUUUACUAAGUAGGGGAGCAGUUUUCUGUUGAAAUUUCAUGAACUCCCAUUUUCUCUGCCUUAAGGUAAUGAGGACUUCUCAAAUGCUGGAUCAAGCUCAAGCACAUUAAACAUUGUCACUCAGG